rnacentral:rRNA from 1 species
GACGAACGCUGGCGGCGUGCUUAACACAUGCAAGUCGAACGUGAUUUUUGUGGAAAUUCUUUCGGGAAUGGAAAUGAAAUGAAAGUGGCGAACGGGUGAGUAACACGUGAGCAACCUACCUUACACAGGGGGAUAGCCGUUGGAAACGACGAUUAAUACCGCAUGAGACCACAGAAUCGCAUGAUAUAGGGGUCAAAGAUUUAUCGGUGUAAGAAGGGCUCGCGUCUGAUUAGCUAGUUGGAAGGGUAAAGGCCUACCAAGGCGACGAUCAGUAGCCGGUCUGAGAGGAUGAACGGCCACAUUGGAACUGAGACACGGUCCAAACUCCUACGGGAGGCAGCAGUGGGGAAUAUUGCACAAUGGGGGGAACCCUGAUGCAGCGACGCCGCGUGAGCGAAGAAGGUUUUCGAAUCGUAAAGCUCUGUCCUAUGAGAA